rnacentral:rRNA from 1 species
CACUGAAGGAUGGACUCGCGUCCGAUUAGGUAGUUGGUGAGGUAACGGCCCACCAAGCCCACGAUCGGUAACCGGACUGAGAGGUUGAUCGACCACAUUGGGACUGAGACACGGCCCAGACUCCUACGGGAGGCAGCAGUGGGGGAUAUUGCACAAUGGAGGAAACUCUGAUGCAGCGACGCCGCGUGAGGGAAGAAGGUCUUCGGAUUGUAAACCUCUGUCUUUGGGGACGAAACAAAUGACGGUACCCAAAGAGGAAGCCACGGCUAACUACGUGCCAGCAGCCGCGGUAAUACGUAGGUGGCGAGCGUUGUCCGGAUUUACUGGGUGUAAAGGGUGCGCAGGCGGGUUAUCAAGUUGGGUGUGAAAUCUCU